CAGGGCUGUGUGUUCCAGAAGGCUGAUACCAUGGAAGACAUCACCUUGGCUUCCUGGCUGUCUGGUUAGUGAUUUGAGCAAUGAGAGGCAGCAGCUAGAAAUGAAAGAGUAGAAGAAGAGAGUGUCUCCUGACACUGUGUGCAUGGUCUCCAGUCAGCCUCUGAUUCCUUCCCAGGGCCUGAUUGGUUCAGCACCAAGUGAAGUCAUAGUCACUAUGGUGACUCACAAUUGUCCUCAGAACCUAGUGCCAACAGUCUGCAAGAUUCAAACACUGGCCACCAUGCCUGGCUUCCUUCUGGUUCAAGCCUGAAUAAGGUCCCUCUUCUGUGCUGUCUUCCUGAAGCCAUCUGUGGAGUCAAGCAGUCAUGGCUCAGGGACACUCUGAAGUAGGUCCCAGCACAUCUGCGUGGAGCAUCAGGAGGAAGGUGGAUGAAUACUUAAGACCCAGCCUGGCCUCUAAAUCGGUGCUGAGCGUUUUACUCAGUAGACAGCUUGGGAAUCAUAGAAACGAUGUGGAUCUGACAGAGUGGCUGUGGACACUGAAGCAAGCCAUACCAGGGUGGACCUGGCCUUUGCCGACACGCCACACAAUCAACCCACCUCUGCCCCCUGGGGAGGAUAGAAAAUCCAAGAAAAUGGUGUGGAUCAAUAAAUCCUUCCCCUGAUGCAACCAUUACAAGUGGAAGCUGUGUUCUCACUGCUUUUGGCUGGACAUGGUCUUUGAUCACCUGGUUUCUUGACUUCUGACCCGUCUCUGUGUUACCCGAGGCCACAGCAGAUGAACUUUACCUACUGCCCUCCGAGAAGGUGUUUACUAACGUUGUAGAGUCUGGGGAUGUUGGAGACACGAGGGGCCCUGCUUAGAGAAGCUGGAAGGGCAGCUGAGUGGAACAUGGAGAGGCCCUGCAACCCUAAAUUUCUAGGGGGAGGGGACUUUCAGGAGCCCACUUAGAGGUCUUGAUUUGUCUCCCUUGAAGUUUGGGGGAGAGCAUGGGUAGAAAUUGAAAUCAAAUAAAUUUAAAAUGAG
rnacentral:lncRNA from 10 species